GACGAACGCUGGCGGCGUGCUUAACACAUGCAAGUCGAACGGAAAGGCCCUGCUUUUGUGGGGUGCUCGAGUGGCGAACGGGUGAGUAACACGUGAGUAACCUGCCCUUGACUUUGGGAUAACUUCAGGAAACUGGGGCUAAUACCGGAUAGGAGCUCCUGCUGCAUGGUGGGGGUUGGAAAGUUUCGGCGGUUUGGGAUGGACUCGCGGCUUAUCAGCUUGUUGGUGGAGUAGUGGCUUACCAAGGCUUUGACGGGUAGCCGGCCUGAGAGGGUGACCGGCCACAUUGGGACUGAGAUACGGCCCAGACUCCUACCGGAGGCAGCAGUGGAGAGUCUUACGCAAUGGGCGGAAGUCUGAUACAGCAACGCCGCGUGCGGGAUGACGUCCUUCGGGGUGUAAACCGAUGUCGCCGGUGACGAGGCGUGCGUGACGGUAAUGGGUAAAGAAGCCCCGGCUAACUACGUG
rnacentral:rRNA from 1 species